rnacentral:rRNA from 1 species
UACGGGGGGGGCAAGCGUUGUUCGGAAUUACUGGGCGUAAAGGGCUCGUAGGUGGCCAACUAAGUCAGACGUGAAAUCCCUCGGCUUAACCGGGGAACUGCGUCUGAUACUGGAUGGCUUGAGGUUGGGAGAGGGAUGCGGAAUUCCAGGUGUAGCGGUGAAAUGCGUAGAUAUCUGGAGGAACACCGGUGGCGAAGGCGGCAUCCUGGACCAAUUCUGACGCUGAGGAGCGAAAGCCAGGGGAGCAAAGCGGGG